AUGACCGUACUUGAACAGGAUCUGUUCUAUAGGAUCGUACCUCUGAAUCCUUGAGUACAAAGGAGACAGGACCAAAACUCUGGUGGAUGAACCGUGGCUACUUGACCAGAGCGUGAUUAGUGGUUCUGUGGUUUAGUUAACUGGUCCACAUAUCCGCGGAGGAUCGUUCUCAGCCGGUUUGAACUGGCUACGAUGGUUAAGUAGUUGUCUGACAGAUU